UAGCGUAGUGGUAACGCGCCCCAACUAGAGAUCGGGGAGUUGUGAGUUCGAUUCUCAC
rnacentral:tRNA from 1 species